CCUACGGGAGGCUGCAGUGAGGAAUAUUGGUCAAUGGACGCAAGUCUGAACCAGCCAAGUAGCGUGCAGGAUGACUGCCCUAUGAGUUGUAAACUUCUUUUGUACGAGGGUAAAACCAGGCACGCGUACCUUUUUGAAUGUACUUUAUGAAUAAGGAUCGGCUAACUCCGUGCCAGCAGCCGCGGUAAUACGGAGGAUCCGAGCGUUAUCCGGAUUUAUUGGGUUUAAAGGGUGCGUAGGUGGUUUGUUAAGUCAGUGGUGAAAUUUCGCGGCUCAACCCUAAAAUUGCAUUUGAUACUGACAGUCUUGAGAAUAGUUGAGGUAGGCGGAAUGUGUGGUGUAGUGGUGAAAUGCUUAGAGAUCAUGCAGAACACCGAUUGCGAAGGCAGCUUACCAAACUGUGACUGACAUUGAGGCUCGAAAGCGUGGGUAGCAAACAGGAUUAGAUACCCUUGUAGUC
rnacentral:rRNA from 1 species